AGAGUUUGAUUAUGGCUCAGGAUGAACGCUAGCGGCAGGCCUAAUACAUGCAAGUCGAACGGAAUAUAGUUUUCGGAUUAUAUUUAGUGGCGCACGGGUGAGUAACACGUACAUAACUUACCCUCAAGAGGGGGAUAGCCUUGGGAAACUGAGCGUAAUACCCCAUAGUAUUAUUGAACGGCAUCGUUUGAUAAUUAAAGCUACGGCGCUUGAGGAUAGAUGUGCGUCUGAUUAGCUAGUUGGUAAGGUAACGGCUUACCAAGGCGACGAUCAGUAGGGGGCGUGAGAGCGUGGCCCCCCACACGGGUACUGAGACACGGACCCGACUCCUACGGGAGGCAGCAGUAAGGAAUAUUGGUCAAUGCCCGGAAGGGUGAACCAGCCAUGCCGCGUGAAGGAUGACUGCCCUCUGGGUUGUAAACUUCUUUUGGAUGGGACGAAAAAACGGGAUUUAUCCUGGACUGACGGUACCAUCAGAAUAAGCACCGGCUAACUCCGUGCCAGCAGCCGCGGUAAUACGGAGGGUGCAAGCGUUAUCCGGAAUCACUGGGUUUAAAGGGUGCGUAGGCGGUUUUAUAAGUCAGGGGUGAAAGCAUGCAGCUUAACUGUAUAAUUGCCUUUGAUACUGUAAGACUUGAAUAAGGUUGAGGUUGGCGGAAUGUGACAUGUAGCGGUGAAUGCUUAGAUAUGUCAUGACCCGUUGCGAGCGCUGACUGGGCCUUUAUUGACGCUGAGGCACGAAAGCGUGGGGAGCGAAGUGUC
rnacentral:rRNA from 1 species